AUACGUAGGGUGCGAGCGUUGUCCGGAAUUAUUGGGCGUAAAGAGCUCGUAGGUGGUUUGUCGCGUCGUCUGUGAAAUUCCGGGGCUUAACUCCGGGCGUGCAGGCGAUACGGGCAUAACUUGAGUACUGUAGGGGAGACUGGAAUUCCUGGUGUAGCGGUGAAAUGCGCAGAUAUCAGGAGGAACACCGGUGGCGAAGGCGGGUCUCUGGGCAGUAACUGACGCUGAGGAGCGAAAGCAUGGGUAGCGAACAGGAUUAGAUACCCUGGUAGUCCAUGCCGUAAACGGUGGGCGCUAGGUGUAGGGGUCUUCCACGACUUCUGUGCCGUAGCUAACGCAUUAAGCGCCCCGCCUGGGGAGUACGGCCGCAAGGCUAAAACUCAAAGGAAUUGACGGGG
rnacentral:rRNA from 1 species